AAUCUUAGGCAACCACCCUGACGUGUUGUACUAUGUUGAACGGGGGGGUAUCAAGGAAUCAGUACGUGCGAGAGACAAGUUCAUAUUGGCCCCAUGUUAUGAGGAUUUGCAUUGGACCCUGUUGGUGAUUUGUGUUUCCAGUAACACAAUCUUCCUUUUUGAUUCAGCUUGAUUGCCUCAUCCAAAAAAGCUCCUCGUGAAGUCCAUACUGCAAAAUGUUAUGAAGAAGAUAAAUUGUCGAGCUCCUCAAGGUCCCACAUGGAAAUCACCGAUGGUAAUGCCAC